rnacentral:rRNA from 1 species
AGAGUUUGAUCCUGGCUCAGAACGAACGCUGGCGGCAGGCUUAACACAUGCAAGUCGAGCGCCCCGCAAGGGGAGCGGCAGACGGGUGAGUAACGCGUGGGAAUCUACCCAUCUCUACGGAAUAACGCAUGGAAACGUGUGCUAAUACCGUAUACGUCCUUCGGGAGAAAGAUUUAUCGGAGAUGGAUGAGCCCGCGUUGGAUUAGCUAGUUGGUGGGGUAAAGGCCUACCAAGGCGACGAUCCAUAGCUGGUCUGAGAGGAUGAUCAGCCACACUGGGACUGAGACACGGCCCAGACUCCUACGGGAGGCAGCAGUGGGGAAUAUUGGACAAUGGGCGCAAGCCUGAUCCAGCC